GCAUCGAUGAAGAACGCAGCGAAAUGCGAUAAGUAAUGUGAAUUGCAGAAUUCAGUGAAUCAUCGAAUCUUUGAACGCACCUUGCGCUCCUUGGUAUUCCGAGGAGCAUGCCUGUUUGAGUGUCAUGAAAUCUUCAAUCUACAAACUUCUUAUGGGGUUUGUAGGCU
rnacentral:rRNA from 1 species